rnacentral:lncRNA from 1 species
AAAACAGCAGGGCGCUCUCUCAAGUCUCCUCUUACUGUGCCAUCGUGGGGAACAGUCUCAUAGCAUGAUAUGGAGCUGGAGAGGAGGGGAGAGGAGAACAGAAGGCAAGGUGGGAAAGGACACCUGGCAGAGACAACAUCUGGAUCCUGAACCUGGAGGAGAAAUCCACUUAUAUCUCACUUUAGAUUUGCCAGCUGCUUUUAUUUUUAUUUGGACUUACAGAAAGGUUGAGAAGAAAAUACGGGAGUGAACUGUAGCAAUAAACGGUUUGUGGGUAAUUUUGGUACUUUAAUGUGGCUUCUAAAAUGUGUACUACAUGACUUAGGAAGGAAUAUUUAAGGAGCCCAGCUGCACUAACGUGGGUUGCUAUUGUGUUAUUACUAAAAUAGCUGAGAGAGACUCUCUGUGC